rnacentral:lncRNA from 1 species
AACUCCCAGCAGCCCCCAGGUACGGGGCGUGGCGGGAGAGCUGGGCGAGCCAGAGGCGACUGGAAGGAUCUUUCUAGUCCAGCCCCUCGCUUUACCCGGACGAAAGACACGGGCCUGAUUUCUUCGAGUCUCACUGAGCCUUAGUCGUCGGCAAGUCCCAGGCGCGAAGUUUCUCGGCCUGGAGGAGGGGGUCGCGCGAAGUGCCAGAUGCAGGCGGGGAAGCCCAUCCUCUAUUCCUAUUUCCGAAGCUCCUGCUCAUGGAGAGUUCGAAUUGCUCUGGCCUUGAAAGGCAUCGACUACGAGACGGUGCCCAUCAAUCUCAUAAAGGAUGGGGGCCAACAGGUAAGAAGGCUGUGCCCAGACCACAAUGUGGGAAUUGGAGGCCUU